GACGAACGCUGGCGGCGUGCUUAACACAUGCAAGUCGAACGGUGAAGCGCCUUCCUUUUUGGUGGGUGUGGAUGAGUGGCGAACGGGUGAGUAACACGUGAGUAACCUGCCCCCUUCUUCUGGAUAACCGCAUGAAAGUGUGGCUAAUACGGGAUAUUCUGGGUCUGUCGCAUGAUGGGUCUGGGAAAGAUAUUGUUUCGGUGGGGGAUGGGCUCGCGGCCUAUCAGCUUGUUGGUGGGGUGAUGGCCUACCAAGGCGGUGACGGGUAGCCGGCCUGAGAGGGUGGACGGUCACACUGGGACUGAGACACGGACAAGACUCCUACGGGAGGCAGCAGGGGGGAAUAUUGCACAAUGGGCGCAAGCCUGAUGCAGCGACGCCGCGGGAGAGAUGGAGGCCUGCGGGUUGUGAACCUCUUUCGCCAGUGAAGCAGGCCUGCCUCGUUUGUGGGUGGGUUGACGGUAGCUGGAUAAGAAGCGCCGGCUAACUACGUG
rnacentral:rRNA from 1 species